ACAUCGAUAGCUCAGUGGCAGAGCGGUGGGGCGUUGCCCCAUGCGGCCCAAGUUCGAGCCCCGAUCGAUGCA